rnacentral:lncRNA from 13 species
ACUAAAUUAAAGUUACCCUAACAUUCUGACUCUUUUUCUUUUAUUGGUCCUGAAAGGAGGGAGUAGAGAAAAUUGCUUUUAAAAGUAGAGAGCAGCUGAAAUGUAUCAGAUUACAAUGGAAAUUUAUUGAUCUAAUACAUAAACACAAAUGUCCAAGGACUCUGAAAAAUAAAAAAGCACACAGAUUGAGAAGGGAUUCAAAACCUCAAGAAAGAGCAACAUAGCACUGAGAUGUACUGAUAGCCAUACAGUCAUUUAUUCCUUGCUUCAUGCUAUGUGGACUUUCAGAUGAGUGAAAUAACCAGGUCACCAGGAGGUUACAGAGGAUAUUUUCCUUUUAAUGAAAUCAACUCAGAGCUUAUUAACCAGGUAUGACGGAUAUUAAGACUUUUCAUCGGACAAGUAUCAUCAAACAUAUUUUGAAUGUUAAUGUUGUGCAGGCAAUUUGGAAUUUAC